rnacentral:rRNA from 1 species
AUUGAACGCUGGCGGCAUGCCUUACACAUGCAAGUCGAACGGCAGCACGGGAGCAAUCCUGGUGGCGAGUGGCGAACGGGUGAGUAAUAUAUCGGAACGUGCCCAGUAGUGGGGGAUAACUGCUCGAAAGAGCAGCUAAUACCGCAUACGACCUGAGGGUGAAAGGGGGGGAUCGCAAGACCUCUCGCUAUUGGAGCGGCCGAUAUCAGAUUAGCUAGUUGGUGGGGUAAAGGCCUACCAAGGCAACGAUCUGUAGUUGGUCUGAGAGGACGGACAGCCACACUGGGACUGAGACACGGCCCAGACUCCUACGGGAGGCAGCAGUGGGGAAUUUUGGACAAUGGGCGCAAGCCUGAUCCAGCAAUGCCGCGUGCAGGAAGAAGGCCUUCGGGUUGUAAACUGCUUUUGUCAGGGAAGAAAUCCUCUAGGUUAAUACCCUUGGGGGGAUGACGGUACCUGAAGAAUAAGCACCGGCUAACUACGUGCCAGCCGCCGCGGUAACAC